rnacentral:lncRNA from 1 species
GCCGCGCACAUGCUGCGGCACACGCCGCGCGCGCCGCGGUAGCGGCCCGCCGCGCACUCCGCGCCCGAUAUUAUCACCUGGCCAUGCAGAUUUCUUUUCAAUACAGGACACAAGAAUAUUGGUUGACGUCAAAUAACUUAAAACUAAGUUUACUGCCGCUUCCAAAGCGUUUCCAGAGAGAAUGGACGUCAAAGCGAAGAAAUUCACAAUCCACAUCGUCGACUGCUAUACACUGAUACACCGUGCAUUCCGUGAGGCUUGUCAACGUUAUCGCCCUAGUGCCAUACGCGGCAUGU